ACAGCUGUAGCUUAGUGAUUAGAGCUAUUGGCUUUGGAUCAAAAGGUUGCAGGUUYGAUUCUCACCUCUGCCUGUAGUA
rnacentral:tRNA from 1 species